rnacentral:rRNA from 1 species
AGAGUUUGAUCAUGGCUCAGGGUGAACGCUGGCGGCGUGCUUGACACAUGCAAGUCGAACGGUAUGUGGCAACACAUAGAGUGGCGAACGGGUGAGUAACACGUGGGAACGUACCCUCUGCAGGGGGAUAACUGACCGAAAGGACAGCUAAUACCGCAUAAGACCGAGAGGAGAAAGGUGCAACAGCAUCGGCAGAGGAGCGGCCCGCGGACCAUCAGCUAGUUGGUGGGGUAAGAGCCUACCAAGGCAACGACGGAUAGCCGGCGUGAGAGCGUGGCCGGCCACAAGGACACUGAGAUACGGGUCCUACUCCUACGGGAGGCAGCAGUGCGGAAUUUUAGAUAAUGGAGGCAACUCUGAUCUAGCGACGCCGCGUGCAGGAAGAAGGUCUUCGGAUUGUAAACUGCUGUGGUAAGGGAAAAAUGCCAUGUAGAGUGGAAAGCUACAUGGAGGGAUGGUACUUUACUAGAAAGCCCCGGCUAACUACGUGCCAGCAGCCGCGGUAAUACGUAGGGGGCGAGCGUUACCCGGAAUCACUGGGCGUAAAGGGAGCGUAGGUGGCCUGACAUGUCGACUGUGAAAACCCGGAGCUCAACUCCGGACUUGCAGUUGAAACUGCCAGGCUUGAGGACGGUAGAGGAAGACGGAACUGCCAGUGUAGGGGUAAAAUCCUUAGAUAUUGGCAGGAACGCCGGUGACGAAGGUGGUUUUCUGGGCCGGUUCUGACACUGAUGCUCGAAAGCCAGGGGAGCGAACGGGAUUAGAUACCCUGGUAGUC